AAAAAGGCAAACCCUAUAUUUCCGUGUCCAACUUUGACUGUCCGUCUUAUAUGAUUUUUUUUAUAAUUCGUAUUUUCAUUGUUGUUAGAUGAUAAAACAUGAUUAAUAUUUUAUGCGUAACUUAUCUUUUUAAUUUUUUUUAUAAUUUUUUCAAAUAAGAUGAAUGAUCAAACGUUGGGCACGGAAAUUAGGGUUUAUCUUUUU
rfam:Oryza sativa Japonica Group DNA, chromosome 8, cultivar: Nipponbare, complete sequence.